AUGGCCGUCCGGCUUCAUCUUGCUAUUGUCGAAUGGCAGAAGGAGAACGCUGCGACCAGCCCAGUCCUCCCCGAGAGCCGAUUUCCUACAGGUGUCUUCACAGAUAUCCCAAUCAGCAACAUUCGUCGAGUCAUUGCACAGCGGUUAAUGCAAUCUAAGCAAACCAUACCUCAUUAUUACCUUUCUAUUGAUGUAAAUAUGGGAGAAGUUUUGUUGGUACGGAAAGAACUUAAUAAGAUGUUAGAAGGAAAAAGCAAAAUUUCUGUCAAUGACUUCAUUAUAAAAGCUUCAGCUUUGGCAUGUUUAAAAGUUCCUGAAGCAAAUUCUUCUUGGCUGGACACAGUUAUAAGACAAAAUCAUGUUGUUGAUAUCAGUGUUGCAGUUAGUACUCCUGCAGGACUCAUCACACCUAUUGUAUUUAAUGCACAUAUAAAAGGACUGGAAACCAUUGCUAAUGAUGUUGUUUCUUUAGCAACCAAAGCACGAGAGGGUAAACUACAACCACAUGAGUUCCAGGGUGGCACUUUUACGAUCUCAAAUUUAGGAAUGUUUGGGAUUAAGAACUUCUCUGCUAUUAUAAACCCACCUCAAGCAUGUAUUUUGGCAAUUGGUGCUUCAGAGGAUAGACUGGUUCCAGCAGAUAAUGAAAAAGGGUUUGAUGUGGCCAGCAUGAUGUCUGUUACACUCAGUUGUGAUCAUCGUGUUGUCGAUGGAGCAGUUGGAGCCCAGUGGCUUGCUGAGUUUAGAAAGUAUCUUGAAAAACCUAUCACCAUGUUGUUAUAAUUAAUCCAAGAAUUUCUAGACUCUCCUAGGUCACAUUGUUUCAUUCUUACGAAGGUAUUAAUAUGUCAUUAAACGGUGGUUCUCUUUUUAUUUUAAGGUUAACCAGUUAUUUUUGAGUCUGUCCAGAUAAGUUAUUUGUAAUGGGCAUUACUGAAUUUUUUAAAAUGCCAAUUACAUCCCAAUAUUAUGCACAUUUAAUAAACACCAGAUUUUAAGCUGUGUACUCCAGGUCAAGGGGCCUGUGGCAUAGCCCUUUGGUAGUAUGGCCUUCCACUGGAAAUGCAGAGGUAGAAUUGUGGUUCCCUAUUGAGACAGGCACAUAAAAGUAACCUUGAUGAGACCUUGAGGCUUUGAAAUUUAAUUACCUCAAAUGUUUUGAUUAGAUUUGAGAAAAGAGAAGUCAGGAAAAUUAGUUCUUUUGGAGAAAGGAUUUGAACUGAAACUUGAUUUUGGAAUUUAAACCUAGUUAAAAAUUUUCUGUUACAUAAAUCUUGGCUUAUCACGGAUGGGAAGCAUGGAGAACUUGAAGGAAAAUAUGAGAAAACUUUAAAAGUCAACAUUUUCAUAGGACUGUUCAACCAGCUGUUCUUUGUUUAUUUUUCUAUGAAUUCAGAAAUGGUUGUUUUCUCCUCUUGAGAUGAAGAUAUAAAUAUGAACCAGC